UACAUGGGGUGCAAGCGUUACUCGGAAUCACUGGGCGUAAAGGGCGCGUAGGCGGUUUGAUAAGUCUGAUGUGAAAGCCCCGGACUCAAUUCGGGAAGUGCAUUGGAUACUGUCAGACUAGAGUAUAGGAGAGGUGAGCGGAAUUCCUGGUGUAGAGGUGAAAUUCGUAGAUAUCAGGAGGAACAACAGCGGCGAAGGCGGCUCACUGGACUAUAACUGACGCUGAGGCGCGAAAGCGUGGGGAGCAAACAGG
rnacentral:rRNA from 1 species